rnacentral:tRNA from 1 species
GGGCGACUAGCUCAGUUGGUUAGAGCGCACGGUUCACAUCCGUGAGGCCAGAGGUUCGAGUCCUCUGUCGCCCA